CCUACGGGAGGCAGCAGUGAGGAAUAUUGGUCAAUGGGCGGGAGCCUGAACCAGCCAAGCCGCGUGAGGGAAGAAGGUACAGCGUAUCGUAAACCUCUUUUGUCAGGGAACAAAGGCGGGGACUAGUCCCCGGAUGAGGGUACCUGAAGAAAAAGCAUCGGCUAACUCCGUGCCAGCAGCCGCGGUAAUACGGAGGAUGCGAGCGUUAUCCGGAUUUAUUGGGUUUAAAGGGUGCGCAGGCGGCCUGUUAAGUCAGCGGUAAAAGCCCGGGGCUCAACCCCGGCGAGCCGUUGAAACUGGCGGGCUUGAGUUGGAGAGAAGUAGGCGGAAGUCGCGGUGUAGCGGUGAAAUGCUUAGAUAUCGCGCAGAACCCCGAUUGCGAAGGCAGCGUACCGGCUCCACACUGACGCUGAGGCACGAAAGCGUGGGUAUCGAACAGGAUUAGAUACCCCAGUAGUC
rnacentral:rRNA from 1 species